rnacentral:rRNA from 1 species
UACGUAGGAGGCGAGCGUUAUCCGGAUUCAUUGGGCGUAAAGAGCGCGUAGGCGGCCCGCUAAGUCAGUUGUGAAAUCUCCCGGCUUAACCGGGAGAGGUCAGCUGAUACUGGUGGGCUUGAGGGCAGCAGAGGGAGGUGGAAUUCCCGGUGUAGCGGUGAUAUGCGUAGAGAUCGGGAGGAACACCAGUGGCGAAGGCGGCCUCCUGGGCUGUUUCUGACGCUGAGGCGCGAGAGCGUGGGGAGCAAACAGGAUUAGAUACCCGCGUA